ACAGAGGGGGCAAGCGUUGCUCGGAAUCACUGGGCGUAAAGGGCGCGUAGGCGGGAUGGCAAGUCAGUCGUGAAAUCUCUCGGCUCAACCGAGAAACGUCGGCUGAUACUGCCGUUCUUGAGGGAUGCAGAGGAGACCGGAAUUCCCGGUGUAGCGGUGAAAUGUGUAGAGAUCGGGAGGAACACCGGUGGCGAAGGCGGGUCUCUGGACCGACACUGACGCUGAGGCGCGAAAGCGUGGGGAGCAAACAGGA
rnacentral:rRNA from 1 species